CUCGUAGGCGGUUCAACAAGUCGGUCGUGAAAGCCCGGGGCUCAACUCCGGGACGCCGGUCGAAACUGUUGUGACUUGAGUUCGGUAGAGGUGAGUGGAAUUCUCGGUGUAGCGGUGGAAUGCGCAGAUAUCGAGAGGAACACCAUUAGCGAAGGCGGCUCACUGGGCCGAUACUGACGCUGAGGAGCGAAAGCGUGGGGAGCAAACA
rnacentral:rRNA from 1 species